GACGAACGCUGGCGGCGUGCCUAAUACAUGCAAGUCGAACGCACAGUUUAUACCGUAGCUUGCUACACCAUAAACUGUGAGUUGCGAACGGGUGAGUAACGCGUAGGUAACCUGCCUGGUAGCGGGGGAUAACUAUUGGAAACGAUAGCUAAUACCGCAUAAUAUUGAUUAUUGCAUGAUAAUUGAUUGAAAGAUGCUAUUGCAUCACUACCAGAUGGCCCUGCGUUGUAUUAGCUAGUAGGUGAGGUAACGGCUCACCUAGGCGACGAUACAUAGCCGACCUGAGAGGGGGAUCGGCCACACUGGGACUGAGACACGGCCCAGACGCCUACGGGAGGCAGCAGUAGGGAAUCUUCGGCAAUGGACGAAAGUCUGACCGAGCAACGCCGCGUGAGUGAAGAAGGGUUUCGGAUCGUAAAGCUCUGUUGUAAGAGAAGAACGGGUGUGAGAGUGGAAAGUUCACACUGUGACGGUAUCUUACCAGAAAGAGACGGCUAACUACGUG
rnacentral:rRNA from 1 species